rnacentral:lncRNA from 1 species
GACUCAUAAUGUGUGCAGUGGGUUUAUGUUAUCAUUUGCUUCAUGAUAGGGUGAAUGUAUUGAUCAGAUUAAGGACUUUGCUUCACAGCUUUGGAGUGUCAUUAGAGACUUGAACAUCAACCAGUUUGCUUUAUUUCUACAAGAGAAUAUUGUUGGUUGUGUCUUGUUAAUCAGUUUAAUUAUUUGGAUACCAGGAGUUUGUGCGUUCCACUGGCUGUGUGAUGUCAAGAGCUUAUGGAGAAAAUGUCUUCAUAGAUCUUGUGAUAGAACUGAUGGACAGAUGAGACAUGCUUUUGAAACACAGAGCAGCUGGGUACUCCAGAAUAGGAUCAAUCAAAGAGUUGAUCUUACACCUCUAUUAUCACUAGAAGAGGAUGAGGACUGUGAUGUUAUCAGCAGCAGGUUAUUUGAGCCAGUGUUUGAACCAGAAGACGACACGCCUCUUCCCCCUGGUUAUACUGGCCCAUCUACUCCUCCUCAUCCUCUUCAAGUCUCAUUUCAAGAAGGACAUCCAUCAUCCACAAUAUGAGGACCAGACAAUCUCUUCAAUUAGUUGGUUGUAAUUUUUAGCGAUUUAUUUUUAUCAAUCAAGUUAUGUUCGUUGAAAUACUUUUAAAUUAUAAGUUGCUGCUGAUUUAUCUUUGCAGUCUCUUGUAUUAAUUAUUGAUAAGUAAUUUAAAUAAGGUUAAUUAUUUACAUUCAAAUAAUGAUCAUUAUCAGUCUCAAAUAGAUAAUCAAAAAUAGGCCAAAAUUAUUUUAAUAAUUGUUAUAAUUUAUUCCUAUAGUUUGGUCAACGGAGCAAGGAACAUAUUGCAAGGUUGAUAACCUUUUGUAGUAUUCUUAUAUAAUUUAUAACUUCCUUUCUCCCUCUAGCUUCAUUUGCUAUUGCACUCUGCAGUCUUUGGUGGUUAUUUAUGUCUUACCUCUAUGUAUCAAUAUACACAUUUAUCCUUUCUUUCUCUCUCUUUCCAUGGAUUUAUUACUGAUCCUUUUGACUGUCCUCACAAUGGAAUGGAUG